rnacentral:rRNA from 1 species
AUUGAACGCUGGCGGCAUGCCUUACACAUGCAAGUCGAACGGUAACGGGCCUUCGGGUGCCGACGAGUGGCGAACGGGUGAGUAAUGCAUCGGAACGUACCUUUCAGUGGGGGAUAACGUAGCGAAAGUUACGCUAAUACCGCAUAUUCUGUGAGCAGGAAAGCAGGGGAUCGCAAGACCUUGCGCUGAUUGAGCGGCCGAUGUCAGAUUAGCUAGUUGGUGAGGUAAAGGCUCACCAAGGCGACGAUCUGUAGCGGGUCUGAGAGGAUGAUCCGCCACACUGGAACUGAGACACGGUCCAGACUCCUACGGGAGGCAGCAGUGGGGAAUUUUGGACAAUGGGGGCAACCCGUGAUCCAGCCAUGCCGCGUGAGUGAAGAAGG